AUGUUUCCUGGCAUAGCUUAUUGUUCCUGCUGUUCCCCAGAUACACAUCAAAGCAAGAAUCUACUAGAGGGGCCCCAGCGGCAGCCCCGCGACUCUAGUGGUCUCAUAAGGGAGAGUUGUUCCCGGCCGUGCUGUCCUCCGCUGCAGUCGCUGGGCUGUGCCAGGACACACUGCAGAGCUCCUCAUCGCCUCCAGCCCCGUGGCCUCGGUUCACCUCAACUUCCACACACCCAUCAUGACGAAGACUUCCACCAGGGCCUGGCCGAGUGGAAGCUGUUCAUCUACAACCCGACCAGCAGAGAGUUUCUGGGACGCACCUCCAAGAGCUGGGCUCUGAUCUUGCUCUUCUACCUAGUUUUUUUUUUUAUGGGUUCUUGGCUGUACUCUUCACAUUCACAACGUGGGUCAUGCUCCAGACUCUAGAUGAUGAAGUUCCGAAAUAUCGAGACCAGAUUCUUAGUCCAGGACUUAUGGUUCUUCCCAAACCACAGACUGCCUUGGCAUAUACAUACAGUAUGUCUCAGCCACAAACUUAUGAAAAGUUCGAUGAAGACCUGAAGCAUUUCCUAAAGCCGUAUUCUGUGGAAGAACAGAAGAAUCUCACAAAUUGUCCUGAUGGAGCACUUUUUCAUUAGAAGGGUCCAGAUUAUAGUGCAUGUCUGUUUCCAGUUUCCUUGCUUCAAGAACGUAGUGGUGAGACUGAUGCUGAUUUUGGCUAUUCCAAAGGACAGCCUUGUACUCUUGUGAAAAUGAACAGAAUAAUCGAGUUAGUAGUCCCAGACAGACUUCUACAAAUAACGUGUGUGACAAAGGAUGAAAACAUAGCAAAUAUAGCAACUUAUUCUGAAUUUGGACUUAGAGACUUAAAGUAUUUUCCAUAUUAUGGGAAAAAACGGCACGUUGGCUAUUGACAGCCCCUAGUCGCCGUCCAGGUCAAAUUUGACUCUGGUGUUAACAAGAAAGAAGUAGCAAUUGACUGCCAAAUUAAUGGAACCAAGAACGUAAAAAACAAGUGACAAAUUCUUGGGACGAGUUUCGUUCAAAGUCACAGCAUGUGCCCUAGGAAUAAGAUGUCUCCACAGAAUAAAUGUUGUGUUGUCUCCGUUUGUAUUAGCUGGACGUGCCAUUCUAGGAUUCUGAGGCCACCGUGGAGGAGGAGGUGGUGUGGUACACGCGUGGGUGACAUCAUAACAUGCUCCCAGGUCACAGUGUUCAGUGUCCUCUCAAGUAAGUGCCUGCUGCCUCUGCUGCCCUUGAACCCAUGUACGGUCGCCAGACAAGGACUAGUGAGCUCCCGAUCGCAAUCAUGCGGAGUGGGGGAUCUUGUCUUCUUUUGUGUGUCAUU